rnacentral:rRNA from 1 species
UACGGAGGGUGCAAGCGUUGUCCGGAUUUAUUGGGUUUAAAGGGUGCGUAGGUGGCGUCUUAAGUCUGGUUUGAAAGCUGGUGGCUCAACCAUCAGAUGUGGCUGGAAACUGGGGCGCUUGAAUGGGUUGGCGGUAGCCGGAACGGGUCAUGUAGCGGUGAAAUGCAUAGAUAUGACCCAGAACACCGAUCGCGAAGGCAGGCUACUACGACUUGAUUGACACUGAGGCACGAGAGCAUGGGUAGCGAACAGG